GGUCAAAGCCUCGAAGAUGCUGGCGCCGUGUGGCGGGCGGCCUGGGCCGCGCUCCGAACCCCCGGGACGCCCCUCCAGGUUCGGAAGUCGAUGGCCACUUUGGUCGUCCCUUGUUUCCCGAAAGACUGCGACCCUGACCGUCACGCCCAAGACUGGCCUGGCCGACGAGCUCCUGAAUAUUAAAGUGGAGGGCUUAGGCCCCAGGGCACGGUGACCCUGCAAGCGUCCGCGGUCAGCUGGCGAGGCCGCCUCUUCCAUUCACUCGCCCACCACGAGGCGGGCGGCCGCGGGGGGCGGAACCUGCCAGGGACCGAGCUCUGGGUGGCGACGUCACGGGCGUGGAGCCUCACGCCAGCUGGCUCAGCGGAUCGCUGCCUCAGCCAGAUGCCGAGGGGCGUGAUGAAAAAUCCCCUGAAAAUGGAGGUGACCGUCCACCACGCGCGCAGCAGCUAGCGGUGCCGCUGGGCCCGACGCUGUCCCCCGCCCAGGUGCAGCGCUGGUUCUCCAGCCCCGAGCUGCUCCGCUGCGCCGCGCUCGCUGCAAGCCCGACGCCUGCGGGGCGCCUUCCUGCUGCCCUCAGGUGGUCCUUUUCCUGGUUUGAUUGAUAUGUUUGGUGAUGGAGGGUUAAAUGAAUCUCGAGCAAAUCUCCUGGCCUGUUGAGCUUUUGCUACUCUGGCUUUGCCAUUUUUUGGCUAUGAAGAUCUACCUCCAAUCAUAAAGGACUUAACAUUUAGGUUACUUUGAGGAGGCAGCUAAAUUCAUGCAAAGUCACCCAAAGGUCAAAGGUCCAAACAUCGGAAUGACUGGUUCUGGAAAAGGGGUAGAGUUGGCGUUUUCCAUGGCUAGCUUUCUCCCAAAUACAGCUGCACUUGUGGAUCAUCAAUGGCUGCAUCUCUCACACAGCUACUGCCCUUACACGUGCUAGAUUAAUCCUGCCAGGACUGCCUUUUAACCUAGAUAAAAUCUCUGCCAUCGAUUCAGCAGUAUACAAUGUUAAUGAAGCGCUGGAGGACUCCUUGGAUCCAGCCUACCAGGAAAACCACAUCCCCCUCGAAAAAGCCAGUGCUCAUUUCCAUUUUAUCCUUGGAGAGGACAACAGGCUUUGGAAGAGCUCUGUUUAUGCUGACAUGGCUGUGAAGCACCUCACAGAGCAUGUGAAGCCACCCUAGUUCUGGCCACAGAAUAGAUCCCCCUUAUAGCCCUUUUUUUCUCUGCCGUCCCGCAACCCACUUUGGGGGUGCCUGUUUGGGGAAGUGGGCAGCUCAAAGCUCAUGCUGUUGCUCAGAUUGAGUCUUGGAAGAAGGCCUUGGAGUUUCUGCACAUGUAUCUGGGGGAAGGCUAACCAGUAAACAGUUAACUGGCUAGAAUAUGCUCAGAACAAAUCAGGGGACAGAUUGAAUAUUUUUGACAAAUGACGACUGAGAUCUGGACUUCACGUGGGCAUCUGCAAGCUUUUAAAAGAAGUAAAAAUACUUGCUUCAGGUUCAUCAGAGCCUGUAGCUUUGGUACUAUCCAUGUUUCUCCAUGUUUGGUUGGUUUGAGCUUGAACUCAAGGUAAUUGCUAAGUGAAAAUCAGUUUCAAUCUGCCAUUUACCCACCCUUCCCUCCCACCCUCCCUGUCACCUUCUGUACUUUCAGAGGUUUUUAAAUACUGGUGUAUGAAAAUUAGUUUGCUGUAUCUGUCCCAGAGGUUUCAAAACUGUUUUGAACAGGGGUGAAUACAUGAAUAUAGGCCCCUGGUUUUAUGAAGAGGAACCACUGGGCUCUGAUAACUUUCUAUAAUGGUCAGAGGGUGGAGUGAAUUCUAACAAGAUGACUCGGAGGCUAAUUUGUGGUCGACUGAAGUCAUAGAAUCCUUUCUGCUGUUAAUCAGAUUUUGAUUUUUCUUCAGUUGCCACCUGUUCUAGGAUCUUUAAGAAAGUUAGAAAUCCUAGGACACCUGCUUUAAAAAUGGCAACCAAUUACUAAGAAACACUUUGAUUCUCUACAGUUCCCUUAUCUCUGUAUUUGUAGUUGAAAAAACUUUUCUUCACGCUUUGUUUCAAAAAUAUAUUUAAAAAGAGGCAGAUUCCAGAUUCUAGUCCUAAGUUGAUAAUUAUACAUGUAGACAAUGUAAUUAUCUGAGGGAAAGACAGAGUUCAUCCCUUCUACCUUAUACUACCUUCACCAAAAAUUUAAUUACAAUUUGUGGAUCAGCCUUAACUUACUAAAUAAUCUUAGCUGAAGUUCUGAGGUUUGAUUCUAAACUUUAAAAAUAUGUGUGGAAUUAGAAGGUGUUAAAAGUUCUGGCCCUCAUCAUAAUUUAGUUUGGUUUUUUUUCCCCACGUACUUGAAGGGAAAGAUUACGGUGAUAAUUACUAGCCUUUGAUUUUGGUUGAUCAGUGGAUCUUGUGGUCAGAACUAUAUUUUGGGUUCUUCUUGGCAGAGGAUGAAGUGUUGUCACCCUAAUUUGUAGUAUUAAUAGUUUUCUCCCCCUAAAUUAACAUUAUUUUUUAAAUUGAACACAUUUCAAAUUAUUAACAUCAAAAAGUAUGUGUAUACAUACAUACUUUUUAUGUGUAUUUAUAUAUAUAUGCACAGACACACUACCUCUUGAUUUUGGGGUAUUCCUGUAAGAUUUUUAAAAGAGGUUUAUUUUAAAAUAGACCAAAAACAUGGUAAGGGGAGAAACUGGCUUUUUAGCAAAUAACUAUAAUGAGAAUCGUAAUCUGAGAAAUCAACUAUUGAAAUGUGAUACAAUGCUCAUUCUAAUUUGCACUGAUAAACCUCUUGACUAUACAAAUAACCUUGGGAACUAAUGACUCUGUUAGGCUUUAAGUUCUUUUUUUUAAUUUUAUUUUAAGGUAUGUAACUUGUAGCUAUUUUGCUCAAUCUCUAAUCAUCUGUUAAAUGUGACAGUUUUUCUUCUCUUUUAUUAAAUCCACAUUCUUGUUUAAAAAUUAGAGAUUUCCUAACAUAUUUGGUUUUCUAUCAUUUCACACUAUUUUACCUAUACUUUUCAAAGAGUCUGCUAGAUUUUUCUGCAUUUUGAAAAACUGUUUCAAUAAUAUUUUUAAACUUUUCUCUUAGCUUUCUUUUACCCAGGCCUGCAACAAGAGCAAGUGGACCCAAAGCCAUAUUGUCUCCUGAACAGAUUUGGGAAUCUAUUUUAUCGUUUUGCAGGAUUUAAGGAUCCAAGUUAUAUAAAUCUCUUUUUUUUUUUUCCUGUGUGAAUGUUUUUAACCUUUGAGAAUCUGAAACUCAAAAUGUACUUGAUGGGAAAUGUACCAAGAUAUUGUGAAUUUGCAGAGACAAGCAAAUUUCUGUUUAUAUAGCAGUAUAUAUAUUUAUAUAUUUAUAUAUAAACUGCUAUAUAAACAGUUUAUACAGUGGUAAAUAGUUUUAUUUACAGAUAAAUAAAACAUAUUCAUGGUCAAGUUUACUACUGCAAUGACAAGGAGGAAGUAGAUGUAAUGCUCUGAGUGAGCAAAAAGAUAAAAUUGAUUAAUGAUGUUUCAUCAUUAAUACCAGUUUCUUACUUAUGGUGUAAUCCAUAGUUUUGAGUAAAAGGAACUCUGCUGGGUUAUGAGAUAUGUUUGAGGAUUAGAUUCCCUUUACAGCCACAUCAACAAACCUAGUAGAGAUUUUGGCAGGCAAGGAAGAAUUCUAGCUCAGAGAGAUGUGGAGGUAUAGAGAUCUUCUGAAAAAACACAAGAACAAAAGUUGGAUAUGUUAUGAAUAUACUUUUUUUGUGUGUGUGAGGAAGACUGGCCCUCAGCUAACAUCCUCCUCUACUUUGUAUGUGGGAUGCAGCCACAGCAUGGCUUGAUGAGCAGUGCACAGGUCGGAGCCCGGGAUCCUGUGAACCCCAGGGCCACCAAAGUGGAGUGCCUGUACUUAACCAUAUGCCACCAGGCUGGCCCCAUGUAUACACAUUUUUAUUUUCUUCAAUAAACAUUUUACUUUUGCCUAUUUUUAUAAAUGUGAUUAAGUUACCUUUUUCAAGAUAAAAUUUAUUUCUUAUUUCAAAAUUUAAAACAUCCACAUUAUAGAACAAUUAGAAGAUAAGCAAAAUGAACAUUCUAUUAAUCUGCUCAGGUUGCCAUAACAAAAUACCACAGACUGGAUAGCUUAAACAACAGAAAUUUGUUUUCUCACGGUUCUGGAGGCUGGAAGUCCAAGAUCAAGGUACCAACGGGAUUGGUUUUUGUUGAGGCCUCUCUCCUUGGCUUGCAGAUUACCACCUUUUCCCUGUGUCCUUGCAUGGCCUUUCUCCUGUGCUCACCACUCACACCAUUGUUCCUCUUCUUAAAAGCAAACCAGUCCUUUGGAUUAGGGCCCCACUCUUAGGGCCCCAUUUAACUAUAAUUACCUCCUUAAAGGCCCUGUCUCCAAAUACAGUCACAUUGGGGGUUAGGGCUUCAACCUAUGAAUUUUGAGGGGGCACAAUUCAGUCCGUAAUAAACAUUAAACCCUCAUAAUAUCCUUUUAAAUAUAUUACAUAUAUAUGUGUGUGCUAUAUAUAAUUUUUAAGAGUAUCAUACCAACUAUUUUGUUUGGUAACUUCCAUUUUAAAUUAAUAUAUCAUGGCUAUCUUUGCAUGUGAAUAGGUGCUUUCAGCAACACUUUUAAUGGAAGUACUAUAUUAUUUCAUUGUUUGGAUGUUCAGCAAUACCAAUUCUCUUGUUGACAUCGGGUUUUCUUUUUGCUAUUAAAACUUUGAACACGUA